rnacentral:rRNA from 1 species
ACACUCCCCUGCGACCGAUAGCGCACAAGUACCGUGAGGGAAAGGUGAAAAGCACCCCGGGAGGGGAGUGAAACAGCACCUGAAACCGUGCGCCCGCGAGCAGUCGGAGCAGCGUAUGCUGUGACGGCGUGCCUUUUGUAGAAUGAGCCAGCGAGCCACCGGUGCGGGGCGAGGUUAAGCUCGGAAGCGAGCCGCAGCGAAAGCGAGUCCGAACAGGGCG